GACGUAAGGUGCGAGCGUUGUCCGGAUUUAUUGGGCGUAAAGAGCUCGUAGGCGGCUCGUCGCGUCAGCUGUGAAAACCCGCGGCUUAACCGUGGGCUUGCAGCUGAUACGGGCGGGCUAGAGUUCGGUAGGGGAGACUGGAAUUCCUGGUGUAGCGGUGAAAUGCGCAGAUAUCAGGAGGAACACCGGUGGCGAAGGCGGGUCUCUGGGCCGAUACUGACGCUGAGGAGCGAAAGCGUGGGGAGCGAACAGG
rnacentral:rRNA from 1 species